rnacentral:rRNA from 1 species
UACGGAGGGUGCAAGCGUUGUCCGGAAUCACUGGGCGUAAAGGGCGCGUAGGCGGCUCAUGAAGGCUGUGGUGAAAGUCCGGGGCUCAACCUCGGAUCGGCCGUGGCGACUCGUGGGCUGGAGCACUGUAGAGGCGGGUGGAAUUCCGGGUGUAGCGGUGGAAUGCGUAGAGAUCCGGAAGAACACCAGUGGCGAAGGCGGCCCGCUGGGCAGUGGCUGACGCUGAGGCGCGACAGCGUGGGGAGCGAUCCGG